AAAAAAUGGAAUUGAGAUUUCUGUUGCUGUUGUUGUUGCUAGAAGACAGUUCACCAUGAGGUGAAGCCAAACAGGACCUCUUGGGAAAUGCAAAACACUUCACCGAGAAAGGCCUAGAGAGGCCAGGACUGCAGCCCUCUUCUCAUGCAAGUCAUUCCAUGAAUUUCCAAGACGCUGCUCACAUGAGAAAAAUAUGCAGGAAAAGAGGUUGAAAGGGCCUCUCAGCAAUUGCACUCAGGUCUCCUGAGCCACAGAGCUGGACUUCGCGCAUGUUGCAAGGACUACAAAACAGGACAAAAUACUGUGGCACAUAAGGGCAGCUGGAUCAACCAGGAGGCCUUGAGCCAUCAGCCAGCCAGUAGGCGCUGAGCCGCGUUUGCACAAUGCCUUCCUUGACGAUGGCUUCCCCUCCCAUGCUGCUGCCUCCAGCAUGCUCUGCCUACCUCCGCCAUCCGCGACAACAUGUUUCACCACCAUCUGAAACGCUUUUCUGGAUGAGCCAAAGAGCUAGUCUGCAGGAUCUAAAAGAAGAUGGAGUGGACACAGCAAUGUGGUUUCAAAGGGUCAAGAAGCCCUUCUUCCAGAGGGCUGCCGUGGUCCUCACUGCACGGACGGGGUGUCUUACCCACGACAAGGUUUAGCUCGGCGGUGGUGCCUACGAUGGUAGCAGGAGGUGAAGCAUGUGCUGACAGAGCUCAUUGCUGGGAAGCGAAUAAAUGAUUCCUGGCACUAGAGUUGGCA
rnacentral:lncRNA from 1 species